GGUUUGACAGCGCUCAUGGAUUCAUUUGGACAUAGGGCAUCUUUCACUGUAGGUGGUGAGAACAGUCUGCUGAGCACCGUGAGGUGUUCUGUUGCAGGUCUAAUUGACAUCAGUAGCCUGAUACUGUUCAGAGUGUAUCUGUGAUAUGUUUUAUUCUGGUGUAGCUAUGGAUGGUAAGCUCAAGGUGGUUAAGUUCAAGGAGGAAAGGUUUACACUGGAUGUCAGGGGGAAGUUCUUCACAGAGUGAUGAGGUGCUGGCACAGGAUGCCCAGAGAGGCUGUGGAUGCUCUGUCCCUAAAGGGCCAGGUUGGAUGGGGCCCUGGGCAGCCUGGUCUAGUGUCAGAUCAGGACGUUGGUGGCCCUCUCUGUGGUAGGGGGGUUGGAGCUUCAUGAUCCUUGGGAUCCCUUCUAACCCAUGCCAUCUGUGAUUCUGUGAUGGUGGUUAUGCCCAACUGAUGGACAUGUAGGAAUCUUGGGGCUUCUUACAGUUCUUAGGCAUGUCCAAAAGCUGGGCAGGUCGCAUAAUUGCCUAGAAAUACAAAGCUCUCUCUAAGUGCUGUUAUUGUAAAUAUGUUUGUCCUGUUAUGCUUUAGCAUUAAAAUAACGCGUAAUUGUGUUAGCCUUUAAAACUGUAGGCUGUUUCUUGAGGAAUCAUUUUCAGGUAAGCUAUGAAGACUUUGCAACUGACAGGUGUUCCACGCAAAUAUUUGCCCUCUUUCCCAAAAUGACCUCUUAUCUCCUUAGCAGUGUUACAGACCUGAGCUAAUCCUCCAGCUGUUACAGUUCCAGAUAAGUAACUGUUGAAGUGGUGCAGACUGCUCUCGUGCUCUACAGGAGUUCCAGGUGGUCUUCUGUUUCUGGAAGGGCUCAUCAAGGCAUUAGCGUGAGCCUGGACCAGGACAGCCGAGGAGACCACCUUCCCUCCCCAUGUCUUGAGGAGAGCUGACACUGAAGUGGGCUAGCGUGAGCCGGGGUCUCCGUGAGUCACACUUCACCUAACAGCAGCCUUCACCACUGCAGUAGGAGCUUCAGGCUGCAGUAAUCUCCCAUCAUAGGGGGAUUAAAGACUUCUGGUGGCUUUGAGUGCCUCCAUCCUGAGGUUUCGGAGUGCUUUGGAUUGUGCCUCAUUCAUCACACUGAACAACUCCAGCAUUUCAGAACAAAAGAUACAAGAGAAGCUUCUUCCAAGUUUAGCUCCACACAAUCCUUUUCUGAUAAAAGCUGUUUGAUAUUAGGGUUAGCCUCAAACUCACAAAGCACUGUGCUAAUUUACCUGCAGUUCCCAUUCUGUGUCUAUGACGUACGUAUACAUGUCUGACGUAGAAUCGUCAAGGCUGGAAAAGAUCAAGUCCAACCAUUAGCCCAUCCCCACCAUGCCCACUAACCAUGUCCAUAAGGUGCCACUUCUACACGUUACUUGGGACACCUCCAGGACUGGUGCCUUCACCACCCGUACCUGUGCACAACUUCAGCGAUCAUGGAUGGGCCUCUCAGUGUUACUGAAGCAACCAAAUAUGUUGAAGCCUAAGGUCAGUAGCAGGACCCAGGCCAUGUGCACAGUGACCUUGCCUGGUUUAGCAUUGCAGGGAUGUCCCCAAGCCCCUGCUGUAUGAGGCUGCAUUGUGUGGAUCUCAGGAACAAUCAGCCCUAAGACUCGCUCUAAAUGGCCUAAAUCCAUACGUAAUAUGACAAUAGUGGGGAUCUCUGAAGUUUGUUGGACAACGAAUCUGAACUGCAGGGGAACUGACGGUUGGUUCUCCGAAAAUGAGUGGAUCUUUGCACUACGUUUUGUUCAGUUCAUCAGCCCUGGAGGAUAGAAACGCUCAUAGUGCCAGGGGACUUUGAAGCCAAGCACCAAUGCUGCCCUGUUGCCAGUCCAUACUUAAAGAUGUGGAACAGCUCUCCUGCGGUCAGCACUCCCUCCUGCUGUGCUGCUGUGCCCAGCAUGUAAGAGGUUUGGCCAAUGAACUUCCUGCUCAUCCUGGCCAGCACUAUGGGAGCAGAUCUAAAUCUGCAGUGAAUGGAGCAGCUCAGAGACACACUGGUGUGGGAGUGGAAAAAGAGCAGUUUGUUUCUUAAUGUAAAGCAGAGCCCUCUGUUUGCUGGUUAAUAAAUAUUAGGCCAGAGCAAAGCUUGUAGAGUUGAAGUCUGAGAGAGUUAAGUGCAGGGGUUGUUCCUCAGCUCUUCCCGAAUAAGGUCUGCACUACCAGGCUGACCACAAACACUGGCUGUGUGAGGCUGUGUCUAUGCAGGCAUGCUGGUUUGCUGUCACCACCCUUUUCUGUUAUUGCUCCCUCAGUCUGGCCCUCCUGCACCUGCAGCAGAUGUUAAAACCCAUGGGUCUCAGCUUUGAGCAACACUACCAGGCAUAGUCCCCAGCUCCUCCCCAGGUUCUGUG
ensembl:lncRNA